rnacentral:tRNA from 1 species
CUUAUGUUAGCAAAACAAUGCAGUUGAUUUAAGAACAAAAGAAGAAAGGAAAUUUCACAUAAGU